UCCUCAACACAACUUAAAGGAAAAGUGGAAACUGGGUAGAGCAAGUGGUUUACUAUUAAAUCCAUGAACUAGUGUCCUAUGGAUAUUAUUGAUAAUUAUUAUCUUGAAUAUAUAUAUUGACUGUAAUUUAUGAAUCAAAUCUUCUCACCCAAAAUGGGGGGUUAAAUGUGAAAAGACUAUUGCAUCCCUGACAUCAUUUCAGUGUGGUUCGAUCACUGAAGUAAAUGAGAUAAUUAAUUGCAAAAUUGUGCAAAGAUAAUUAGAGGUGAAUGGGCCUCAAGAUACUACAAUAGACUAGUAUUACUACCAAUGCUGCUUAGCUGUGACAGUGAACGGAGAUGCAGAGUCGUGAUGGCGUCGUCUGGUGCUUGCUGGAUCACGUGAGCCAAGAGCGUGGCGUGGGAAAAUGAUGAGACCACGGCCGCUCCAACGCACACUGAAAUUCCAAUUAAAAGUACAAAUUGCCUACACCAAGUAGAUUGUGUCAUCACUAUUCAAUAGAAGGGACAGAGCAAAUUCCUUACAGACGUACUUGUAGUUUGGGGAGGUCUUGUGGUGUAACGAUGGACAAAGUGUAUUAUAAAAUUAAAAGAGCUCGAUUAA